UAAUAUUUAUUUUUUUUAGUUAUCGGCGGACACACAUCUUUGUUUGUAUGUGGUGCUGAGGAUCGAACCCGGGCCGCACGCAUGCCAGGCGAGUGCGCUACUGCUUGAGCCACAUCCACAGCCCAUUUGUUUACUUUUCUUCACGAUCACCCUGCAGGAUACCACUAUUAAUUCCCAUUUUACAAAUAGGGAAAGUCAUUUGCCCAAGAUUUCAUGACUAGAAAAUUGUAAAGCCUAGGUCUGUACUACUUAAUACAUUGUCAAGUUCGAAUAAAAUGUUAUUGAGGGCUGGCAUCUAAAUAUUAUUGCUUUGCUGCUGAAUGUAGUGUCUAAGACACAGGCCUGAAAACCUGAAGAGAGCCAAAAUCUGAAUGUUCUGAAUUGGAAUUUGCUCAUGCACUUGGGAAUACAUUGAUAUAUCUGUGAUGCUACUACAUCUAGAAACUUUAGACACACCUGGAAAAGGUCUUUGUGUAAAAGCUUCUGUGCACCAUUUGAUACACAUUUGGCUUGUAUUCUUAGAAAGUGAAGUUUGAUGAUGAUAGGAAAAAUUUUCUCCCUUCCCUGAGACUUUCAUUCCUUAGUUUGGGAUAGUAUUAGAGUUACCUUUGGACCAGUCUCUUCAUGUUGUUUUCCUUUCUUGGGCUAGUGUCAGUCAAGGCAAAAGUACAAACCAAUUGCCAGGGUAUGCUAGGGUUUGGCAUGGUGAUUGGGGAGGCCAAAACUAGAACUAUUCACAAAGUAAGAUGAAACAGCAAUAUCUCCAGGUAAAAUGGAACUCGUUCCAGUGCUGUUCUAACAGAGGUAUGUCACCUGCCAGAAGAGGUGGUGAAG
rnacentral:lncRNA from 1 species